CCGGCGCAGUCCCCGGGACCCCGCGCCCCGCGCCUCCGCCCAGCUCGCGGCUCCGCGCCGCCGCGGCCCUUCUCACCUGGUGGCGCCGCCUGCUCACCGCCCACCUCCGGGCCACGGCCCCUGCGCCCACGAAGACGUCCACAGCCACCGCGACAGCAGCGGAGUCGAAGAGAGCGCAGCCUGGACACCGGACUACUUACUCGCCUUGCUGAUUGUCUAUUUUUAUAAGAGUUUACAACUUUUCUAAGAACUUUUGUAUACAAAGGAACUUUUUAAAGAAAGCGAUAUUUCCAGUUUAUAUUUAAUCCAAAGAAGGACUUUAGGCAUUUUUGGGUUUAAGGGUCUUGACUUCGUUUCUAAGGUUUUUUUUCUUUUUUUUUUUUUUUUUUCCUUCGUUAAUUCUGGACUUCGGGUAUCCCCGCUGCUUCGGGCUCCCGAGGAUCUUCUGGGCCCCAUAUUAAUGAGGCAGCCACCUGGCGAGUCUGACAUGGCUGUCAGCGACGCGCUGCUCCCGUCCUUCUCCACGUUCGCGUCCGGCCCGGCGGGAAGGGAGAAGACACUGCGUCCAGCAGGUGCCCCGAAUAACCGCUGGCGGGAGGAACUCUCUCACAUGAAGCGACUUAACCCAGGGCUUCCCGGCCGCCCCUACGACCUGGCGGCGGCGACCGUGGCCAC